CAGACUCAGAUGCAGCGGGAAGCCGGAAUGGAAGGAAUGGGGAUGGAGCCAGUGGUGCCAUGGGUGCCUCCGCUAGGAACUCUGGUCGAUGCCCGACGCGGGGUAAAUAGACCCUGCGGUUCCAGGACUCUACCUCAGUGGCGGGAAAACCUCAACCUGCACUGCAGAUGCCCAACUCAGGGAGCAUGCGCAGGGUGUGCGCACGCGCCUCUUUCUGCGCAUGCGCCUUAGUGCGCAUACGCCUUCCUGAGCGCAUUCUGUGAGAACCGUUGGGCCUGAGACGGGGAGAAAUAUGAGUGGGCAAGUGGCAUCAACAUUGGGAUCUACAGGUCAAGAUUCUUCCCAGCUGGAUGAACCUGUGGUUGACCAGCAGCCCAGUGUUGAGCAACCUCAACAAGAGGAAGCACCAGCUGAGAUUCAGGAUAUCACACCUGGAAAGGAGGAAGUCAAUGGAGAGGAUCCAGUGAAUCAUGAUGAAGAGGAGAAGGAUGCCCCUGGAGAUUCUGACCUGGAAACUGAUCUCCAGGAAUUGGCUUUGGCAAAGACUGGGGAUCAAGGCGGAGAUGGUCCUGAUGUCAAGGAGGAGAUUGCAUCAAAUACAGAGACUGUUGAAAUGCCAGAGGAGGUGAAGGGGAACCAUUUGCUUGAAAGAAGAUAAACUGAAACCAUCUAUGCUGUUCUUAUGCUGUUUAUUUGACUGUUAAAGUUCUGUCAAUAAAGUUUCAUUUUCUACUUGCAAA